UACGUAGGGUGCGAGCGUUGUCCGGAAUUAUUGGGCGUAAAGAGCUCGUAGGCGGCCUGUCGCGUCGGAUGUGAAAACUCGGGGCUUAACCCCGAGCCUGCAUUCGAUACGGGCAGGCUAGAGUUCGGCAGGGGGAGACUGGAAUUCCUGGUGUAGCGGUGAAAUGCGCAGAUAUCAGGAGGAACACCGGUGGCGAAGGCGGGUCUCUGGGCCGAUACUGACGCUGAGGCGCGAAAGCGUGGGUAGCAAACGGG
rnacentral:rRNA from 1 species